rnacentral:rRNA from 1 species
GAGUUUGAUCAUGGCUCAGGACGAACGCUGGCGGCGUGCGUAAUACAUGCAAGUCGAGCGGACCUUCGGGUCAGCGGCGGACGGGUGAGGAACACGUGAGUCAUCUGUCGGUGGGUGGGGGAUAUCGGGCCGAAAGGCGCGGCAAUCCCGCAUACGUUCCUUCGGGAAGAAAGCUGGGCAACUGGCGCCCGCCGGGGAGCUCGCGGCCCAUUAGCUAGUUGGUAGGGUAACAGCCUCCCAAGGCGACGAUGGGUAGCCGGCCUGAGAGGGUGAACGGCCACACUGGGACUGAGACACGGCCCAGACUCCUACGGGAGGCAGCAGUAGGGAAUCUUCCACAAUGGGCUCAAGCCUGAUGGAGCAACGCCGCGUGAGUGAAGACGGCCUUCGGGUUGUAAAGCUCUGUCUGUCGGGACGAAGACCGGGACGGGAGUCCCGGGGAGCCGGUACCGACGAAGGAAGCCCCUGCAAACUACGUGCCAGCAGCCGCGGUAAGACGUAUGGGGCAAGCGUUGUCCGGAAUUACUGGGCGUAAAGGGCGUGUAGGCG